rnacentral:rRNA from 1 species
UACGUAGGGGGCAAGCGUUGUCCGGAUUUACUGGGCGUAAAGAGCGCGCAGGCGGUCGUUCAAGUCGCGUGUGAAAGCCCCCGGCUCAACUGGGGAGGGUCACGCGAUACUGCUCGACUUGAAGGCAGGAGAGGGAAGUGGAAUUCCCGGUGUAGUGGUGAAAUGCGUAGAUAUCGGGAGGAACACCAGUGGCGAAGGCGACUUCCUGGCCUGUUCUUGACGCUGAGGCGCGAAAGCUAGGGUAGCAAACGGG